CCUACGGGAGGCAGCAGUGAGGAAUAUUGGUCAAUGGGCGGGAGCCUGAACCAGCCAAGCCGCGUGAAGGAAGAAGGCGCCAAGCGUCGUAAACUUCUUUUGUCGGGGAACAAAGGGCGCCACGUGUGGCGUUGUGAGUGUACCCGAAGAAAAAGCAUCGGCUAACUCCGUGCCAGCAGCCGCGGUAAUACGGGGGAUGCGAGCGUUAUCCGGAUUUAUUGGGGUAAAGGGGUGCGUAGGCGGUCCGGAAAGUCAGCGGUAAAAGCCCGGGGCUCAACCCCGGCGAGCCGUUGAAACUGUCGGACUAGAGACGGCGAGAAGUACGUGGAAUUCGAGGUGUAGCGGUGAAAUGCAUAGAUAUCACGAAGAACCCCGAUGGCGAAGGCAGCAUACCGGCUCCACACUGACGCUGAGGCACGAAAGCGUGGGUAUCGAACAGGAUUAGAUACCCCUGUAGUC
rnacentral:rRNA from 1 species